UACGUAGGGGGCAAGCGUUGUCCGGAUUUAUUGGGCGUAAAGAGCGUGUAGGCGGCCAGACAGGUCCGUUGUGAAAACUGGAGGCUCAACCUCCAGACGUCGAUGGAAACCGUCUGGCUAGAGUCCGGAAGAGGAGAGUGGAAUUCCUGGUGUAGCGGUGAAAUGCGCAGAUAUCAGGAAGAACACCCGUGGCGAAGGCGGCAUCCUGGACCGACAUUGACGCUGAGGAGCGAAAGCCAGGGGAGCAAACGGG
rnacentral:rRNA from 1 species